AUUGAACGCUCGCGGGAUGCUUUACACAUGCAAGUCGAACGGCAGCGCGGACUUCGGUCUGGCGGCGAGUGGCGAACGGGUGAGUAAUGUAUCGGAACGUGCCCAGUAGCGGGGGAUAACUACGCGAAAGCGUAGCUAAUACCGCAUACGCCCUACGGGGGAAAGCAGGGGAUCGUAAGACCUUGCACUAUUGGAGCGGCCGAUAUCGGAUUAGCUAGUUGGUGGGGUAACGGCUCACCAAGGCGACGAUCCGUAGCUGGUUUGAGAGGACGACCAGCCACACUGGGACUGAGACACGGCCCAGACUCCUACGGGAGGCAGCAGUGGGGAAUUUUGGACAAUGGGGGCAACCCUGAUCCAGCCAUCCCGCGUGUGCGAUGAAGGCCUUCGGGUUGUAAAGCACUUUUGGCAGGAAAGAAACGUCGCGGGCUAAUACCCCGUGGAACUGACGGUACCUGCAGAAUAAGCACCGGCUAACUACGUG
rnacentral:rRNA from 1 species